rnacentral:tRNA from 1 species
UAGCUCAGUGGUAGAGCACAUGCUUAGCAUGCACAAGAUCCUGGGUUCAAUCCCCAG